UUAGGUGGCUACAGCGACGGGGUUCCACCUCUUCCCAUUCCGAACAGAGAAGUUAAGCCCGUCAGCGCCGAUGGUACUGCAGAGAUGUGGGAGAGUAGGUCGCCGCUUAUUUUA
rnacentral:rRNA from 1 species